CACGUAGGGUGCGAGCGUUGUCCGGAAUUAUUGGGCGUAAAGAGCUCGUAGGCGGUGUGUCGCGUCGGCCGUGAAAACCUGCAGCUUAACUGUGGGCUUGCGGUCGAUACGGGCAUCACUGGAGUUCGGCAGGGGAGACUGGAAUUCCUGGUGUAGCGGUGAAAUGCGCAGAUAUCAGGAGGAACACCGGUGGCGAAGGCGGGUCUCUGGGCCUUACCUGACGCUGAGGAGCGAAAGCGUGGGUAGCAAACAGG
rnacentral:rRNA from 1 species